rnacentral:lncRNA from 1 species
CUCUUCAUCACUUCGCGAAUAAACCAAUACGUCGUCACUGAACACCACGACGCAUCGAUCCAACAAUGGCCGGAAGACUCGAUUCAUUGUCACGCCCCGGGACCGGCGGAGGCCCUCCCGGUAGCGUGCCCAGACCCGCCAUAUGUCUACACAUAUAAGGCGUCUACAAUAAAAGCGGAAGCAAAGGCAAACAGUAGAACAAAUAGAAGAAGUGAAAUAACAAGCAACUAGUGAUAUCAGAGCGAGUAAAGUUCUAACAUCUAUACUCAUAGUAAUAGAACAUAACAAAUACAUAAAAGUAAACAUAAGUUAUACAGUAUCAGCCUCUAAUACAAAAGUGGUGGUCUCUAGUACACUGGUAAAACUCUCAACCUCUCCAAAAUAAAGUACAACGAGAGGUAGACCACCUAGCAAAUCGUCCUCGAAGGAAGCUAGCUCGAAGCAACUCCCUUCCCGCGGUCCCUAGCCUCUCCCGGCGUGGAAGGCUCUGAAAGAAAUCAUAAAACAGAGGGCGUGAGAACUAUAAUUUAUAGUUCCCAGUGGGCAAUUACUGACCUCAGCUCAAUGCACCACUAGGCCCCAAAAGAAAAGGGUAAGUACAAUAAUGAUAGCAAUAUAAAGGCAUAAUUAAAAUGCUAACUUACUAAACUCAAGUAUAACGAUGUCAUGGUGAUGUACAUCUACGAUAUCAAAAUAGUAUGUCAUUAAUCUUUAUGAAUACAGUAUGCAAGUUCUGUCAUGGCAUCCAAGCAUGCUUUAAUGCAAAAAGGUGACUAUCAAGUAUACUACAUGUCUCGACCCUAUGCUAUAUGCAUGUAAAUGUAACCCAACUACUAAGUCUAUCUAGUAGUGAUUGCUCAUUCUCGACCCCGUAUCGAUUUCCAUUUCCAAUCAAGGACCUACCAAAGGUAGUCCAGCUUGUGCCGCCUAAGUGCCUGUGGUAGCCCAACAUCCCUACUCUUGGAAUGUGUCUGUCCCACUCGACCCCGUAGGCUUCUCAAUACCGCACGAGCGAUCAAAAGUCGCGUAGGCUAACUCCGGAGUGCCGGCUUAUAGGGAGCGACCCUCACAAGCAUGUGCGAAUGAGCACAAAUGGCAAGCAAGCGUAGUCCAAGUCUCAAAUGUCCAAUCCUCAUGUCUCUAACAUGGCAUCAUAACUAGCAUCCC